rnacentral:rRNA from 1 species
CAGGACGAACGCUGGCGGCGUGCCUAACACAUGCAAGUCGAGCGAGGAGAUCCUCGGGAUGAUCCUAGCGGCGGACGGGUGAGUAACACGUGGGCAACCUGCCUCAUAGAGAGGAAUAGCCUUCCGAAAGGGAGAUUAAUACCUCAUAACAUUGCAGUUUCGCAUGGAACAGCAAUUAAAGGAGCAAUCCGCUAUGAGAUGGGCCCGCGGCGCAUUAGCUAGUUGGUGAGGUAACGGCUCACCAAGGCGACGACGCGUAGCCGACCUGAGAGGGUGAUCGGCCACAUUGGGACUGAGACACGGCCCAGACUCCUACGGGAGGCAGCAGUGGGGAAUAUUGCACAAUGGGGGAAACCCUGAUGCAAGCAACGCCGCGUGAGUGAUGACGGCCUUCGGGUUGUAAAGCUCUGUCUUCAGGGACGAUAAUGACGGUACCUGAGGAGGAAGCCACGGCUAACUACGUGCCAGCCGCUGC